AUUUAAGUAGUUUAACAUAAAAUUUGGAUUUGUGAUUUCCUAGAUGUUUGUAUAUCUAAUCU
rnacentral:tRNA from 1 species